rnacentral:rRNA from 1 species
UUCCCAGGUGGAUUACUUAAUGCUUUCGCUCAGACACACACUGUGUAUCGCGUAUGUCGAGUAAUCAUCGUUUAGGGCGUGGACUACCAGGGUAUCUAAUCCUGUUUGAUCCCCACGCUUUCGUGCCUCAGCGUCAAUAUUUGUGUAGUGAGCUGCCUUCGCAAUUGGUGUUCUAUGUCAUAUCUAAGCAUUUCACCGCUACAUGACAUAUUCCGCUCACCUCCACAACAUUCAAGAUACGCAGUACCCAUGGCAGUUUCCGAGUUAAGCUCGGAGAUUUCACCACGGACUUACAUACCCGCCUACGCACCCUUUAAACCCAGUGAAUCCGGAUAACGCUUGCACCCUCCGUAUUACCGCGGCUGCUGGCACGGAGUUAGCCGGUGCUUAUUCAUCUGGUACCGUCAGACGAGAAAGAAUUCCCUUUUUUCGUCCCAGAUAAAAGAAGUUUACAAUCCAGAGGACCUUCAUCCUCCACGCGGCAUGGCUGGUUCAGACUUGCGUCCAUUGACCAAUAUUCCUUACUGCUGCCUCCCGUA